rnacentral:lncRNA from 1 species
CGCCAGACAAAAAAUUAAAAAAUUAUUAAAAGUGAAACACAAAAAGCGUUGUAAUCCUAGUUUAUUGAAAGAUAGCUCAUCAUUUUUUAUGUUUAACACAACUGUUUAACAUAACAGGACUCAACAACUCACUCAACUAACACGGCAUAACAGAAACACAAAAAGGGAGGGGGUUCAAUACGAUCCAGAAAUAGCACCACCACCACAAUCCCUAACACAGACAAAAAUAAAGUUCAACGACACAGAAUAACGAAAAAACGAAAACACAGAAUCUAAAUUCAGAGCCACCAUAACAAAAUGCGACCGAUCUAAGAGACUUGACCGCAAUCGGCGAUCACAACUGGCUUUGAGGUCUUUCCAGAUCCAGAUCCAACUUUCUCGAUCUCCUUCACGAUGUCCAGACCUUCAACAACCUGACCGAACACGACGUGUUUCCCGUCAAGCCACUCGGUCUUAGCGGUGCAGAUGAAGAACUGAGAUCCGUUGGUUCCUGGACCAGCGUUUGCCAUGGAGAGGAUUCCAGGACCGGUGUGCUUCUUGAUGAAAUUCUCAUCAGCGAACUUUGAUCCGUAGAUCGAUUCACCUCCGGUACCGUUUCCGUUGGUGAAAUCACCUCCCUGGCACAUGAAUUGAGGGAUCACACGGUGGAAGGAAGAUCCUUUGAAGUGGAGUGGUUUGCCGCUGCGGCCAACUCCUUUUUCGCCGGUGCAGAGAGCACGGAAAUUCUCAGCGGUGCGGGGAGUGACAUCAGCGAAAAGCUCGAAGAUGAUGCGUCCAGCAGGGUUGCCACCGACGCUCAUGUCGAAGAAAACCUUAGGGUUAACCAUGGUUGCGGGGAGAGUGAAUCAAUUGAAAACUCUAGAGUGAAGAAUAAGAAUAGGGUUAGGGUUU